rnacentral:misc_RNA from 1 species
GAAAUGCGAUAAGUAAUGUGAAUUGCAGAAUUCAGUGAAUCAUCGAAUCUUUGAACGCACCUUGCGCUCCUUGGUAUUCCGAGGAGCAUGCCUGUUUGAGUGUCAUGGAAUUCUCAACUCUAUUUGCUUUUGUGAAUAGAGCUUGGAUUUGGAGGUUUAUUGCUGGUACUUGUGAUCGGCUCCUCUUGAAUGCAUUAGCUCGAACCUUUGCGGAUCAGCUAUCGGUGUGAUAAUUGUCUACGCCGUUGCAGUGAAGCAUAUCAAUGGGCUCGGCUUCCAAUCGUCCUUUACUGGACAAGGACUUUGCCCUUUGACCUCAAAUCAGGUAGGAUUACCCGCUGAACUUAAGC